rnacentral:rRNA from 1 species
CCUACGGGAGGCAGCAGUGGGGAAUAUUGGACAAUGGGGGCAACCCUGAUCCAGCCAUGCCGCGUGUGUGAAGAAGGCCCUCGGGUUGUAAAGCACUUUCAGUGAGGAAGAACGCCUGGUGGUUAAUACCCAUCAGGAAAGACAUCACUCACAGAAGAAGCACCGGCUAACUCCGUGCCAGCAGCCGCGGUAAUACGGAGGGUGCGAGCGUUAAUCGGAAUUACUGGGCGUAAAGCGCGCGUAGGUGGCUUGAUAAGCCGGUUGUGAAAGCCCCGGGCUCAACCUGGGAACGGCAUCCGGAACUGUCAAGCUAGAGUGCAGGAGAGGAAGGUAGAAUUCCCGGUGUAGCGGUGAGAUGCGUAGAGAUCGGGAGGAAUACCAGUGGCGAAGGCGGCCUUCUGGACUGACACUGACACUGAGGUGCGAAAGCGUGGGUAGCAAACAGGAUUAGAUACCCUAGUAGUC